UAGUGAAAAAAUAGAUUUAAAAGAAUCGAUUUAUGCUCAAGGGUAUUUUUGAAAAUUUUCAAAAAAGAUGGGAAAAAUGUAAAUUUAAGUAUUAGCGGUCAAAAACACUUUCCAAUCUUUGCCAAAAUGAUGAAAUACAUUACAAAUAAAUCUCUUAUAUUUUGGGAUUUUAUAUAAUUUUUUUAAUGUUUUUUUAAAAAAUACCCUGCCGAAUCACCAAAAGUGGCCACAACUAGAAUAAACAAUAUCACUGGUUUUGAUCUAACCAGAUGAUUCCGAUUUGAACCGCCCGAUUUUGCAAACACUGGGCUGAACACAAUGGCGAGAGAAGGAUGAAUUUUAUGACCUCGAAAAUCUUGGUCUAAUUGCCGAAUUCCUAUAUUGUAUAUCAAAAGGAAUGGCCUUUAGAUGACUGAAACUUAGUUGUUAAGCUGCUGGUGUUUUCACAGAGUGAAAUCCAUGCUGAAUUUAGAUAGUCAUUCAACAGAAAAUGAGCAUGUUUCAGCCAUCUACUUUUAGUGCAUGGUAUUUAUUAGUGCAUCCUUUAUCCUUUAUAAUAUUUUGCUUUAGAUGUCGACAAAAUAAGCCAUUUUUUUUUCCUUUAUUUGGGUAUAUGAUUUUGUUUCAUUUAUUCUUUUAUAUUCGAGCAACCUGUAUGCAAGGUAAAAGCUUUAUUGUAUUAUAAAAAAUGACGGGUAAAUAAUGUGGUGAACUUUAAUAUGCAAAUACUUGGCGGGGAUGAUAUAUGGAUAGGAUGACAUAUGAUAUAUAUGAUGAAUUUAUAAUGAAAAUUUGAUGGUGUGUAUGCUAAAAUUGUUAUGCUGCACUUACUAUAAUUGGUUGAGUUCAGUUGUUUAUAUGGGUUUGAAACCUUAAAUUGGUAUUAAUGCUCAAUAUGUUGGGCUGCUAACAUGUAGUUUAGAGGGUAAGGCUGAUAUUUAUAGUUGAUAAUGGAGUAAUGCAAUCUUGUGCUUAAUCGAUGGUUUGGGGUUUCCACUUGGUGGAAAGAACUUGAAGUGUAUUUUCAAUGGUACCAUAGUUGGGUUUUGGGUUUCCAUUUCGAGGAAUAACUUGAAGUGCAUUUUCAAUGAUACCAUAGUUGGGGUUUCCAUUUGGAAGGGUACCAUAGGGGUUUCCAUUUGGAGGAAAGUACUUGAAGAGCAUUGGAAAAUGGUACAGAUACGUGGUACCACAGUUGGGGUUUCCAUUUGGAGGAAAGAACUUGAAGAGCAUUGGAAAAUGGGAGGUGAAAAUCCCACCAACCACGAAGCCAAUCAGUAAAUCCACAUACUAUAGCUUUGGCGACUUCCUGGUCAUGAUUGCCUACCAUUUUAUAGGCAGAGGCACACAUAGUCAUAUGUUUCAUAGUAUCCAGAAUUUGAUGUUCAGACAUACCAUCUAUAUUCCAAUUAACUAUGGUUUGUUCUGAAUAAGAGGUUGUAUGAGAUAUGAGAUCUUCUUCGAA